CGACGCCGCGUGAGGGAUGACUGCCUUCGGGUUGUAAACCUCUUUCAGUAGGGAAGAAGCGAAAGUGACGGUACCUGCAGAAGAAGCGCCGGCUAACUACGUGUCAGCAGCCGCGGUAAUACGUAGGGCGCAAGCGUUAUCCGGAAUUAUUGGGCGUAAAGAGUUCGUAGGCGGUUUGUCGCGUCUGCCGUGAAAGUCCGAGGCUCAACCUAGGAUCUGCGGUGGGUACGGGCAGACUAGAGUGAUGUAGGGGAGACUGGAAUUCCUGGUGUAGCGGUGAAAUGCGCAGAUAUCAGGAGGAACACCGAUGGCGAAGGCAGGUCUCUGGGCAUUAUCUGACGCUGAGGAGCGAAAGCAUGGGGAGCGAACAGGAUUAGAUACCGUGGUAGUCCAUGCCGUAAACGUUGGGCACUAGGUGUGGUGGACAUU
rnacentral:rRNA from 1 species